CCUACGGGAUGCAGCAGUGAGGAAUAUUGGUCAAUGGACGAGAGUCUGAACCAGCCAAGUAGCGUGAAGGAUGACUGCCCUAUGGGUUGUAAACUUCUUUUAUAUGGGAAUAAAGUGUUCCACGUGUGGGUUUUUGUAUGUACCAUAUGAAUAAGGAUCGGCUAACUCCGUGCCAGCAGCCGCGGUAAUACGGAGGAUCCGAGCGUUAUCCGGAUUUAUUGGGUUUAAAGGGAGCGUAGAUGGAUUGUUAAGUCAGUUGUGAAAGUUUGCGGCUCAACCGUAAAAUUGCAGUUGAUACUGGCAGUCUUGAGUACAGUUGAGGUGGGCGGAAUUCGUGGUGUAGCGGUGAAAUGCUUAGAUAUCACGAAGAACUCCGAUUGCGAAGGCAGCUCACUGAACUGCAACUGACACUGAGGCUCGAAAGUGUGGGUAUCAAACAGGAUUAGAUACCCCUGUAGUC
rnacentral:rRNA from 1 species